rnacentral:rRNA from 1 species
GAUGAACGCUGGCGGCGUGCCUAAUACAUGCAAGUCGAGCGAACAGACGAGGAGCUUGCUCCUUUGACGUUAGCGGCGGACGGGUGAGUAACACGUGGGUAACCUACCUAUAAGACUGGGAUAACUUCGGGAAACCGGAGCUAAUACCGGAUAAUAUUUCGAACCGCAUGGUUCGAUAGUGAAAGAUGGCUUUGCUAUCGCUUAUAGAUGGACCUGCGCCGUAUUAGCUAGUUGGUAAGGUAACGGCUUACCAAGGCAACGAUACGUAGCCGACCUGAGAGGGUGAUCGGCCACACUGGAACUGAGACACGGUCCAGACUCCUACGGGAGGCAGCAGUAGGGAAUCUUCCGCAAUGGGCGAAAGCCUGACGGAGCAACGCCGCGUGAGUGAUGAAGGUCUUCGGAUCGUAAAACUCUGUUAUUAGGGAAGAAUAAACGUGUAAGUAACUGUGCACGUCUUGACGGUACCUAAUCAGAAAGCCACGGCUAACUACGUG